rnacentral:lncRNA from 1 species
GCACUCCGGCGGCACCCAGUCGCGCCCCCGUGGGUCGCCCGCGUUCAGGUACUUCUCGAUGCCGGCUUCUCCGAUGGUGAUCAUGGAUCGGUUGACGGUGGACCAGCAGGUGGUUCCGGCGUAGCCCUUCUCGUCGCCGACCCAGCGGACGUCGGGCCCGUCGUCGGAGAAGAUGUUGAUGGAGCGCUGCAGCUGCUUCACCGUCUGGAACCACUCCUGGAAGUGGUACGUCAUAUUGGUCGCGUUCUUGCCCUUGGCGCCGUCGAACCAAAUCUCCGACACGCUCCCGUACCUGGCUUGUUUUGUAGUAUUGUUUACACACACACAGAGAGAAUCAUCAUGUAAGGCUAACAAUUGCUACACGACGCUUUUGUUUAAUCGCAGCAGCUGGGAACUGACCCGGUGAGGAGCUCGUGGAGCUGGGCCUCGUAG